GUCGAACGAUGAAGCCCAGCUUGCUGGGUGGAUUAGUGGCGAACGGGUGAGUAACACGUGAGUAACCUGCCCCUGACUCUGGGAUAAGCCCGGGAAACUGGGUCUAAUACCGGAUAUGACUUUUGACCGCAUGGUUGAGGGUGGAAAGAUUUAUCGGUUGGGGAUGGACUCGCGGCCUAUCAGCUUGUUGGUGAGGUAAUGGCUCACCAAGGCGACGACGGGUAGCCGGCCUGAGAGGGUGACCGGCCACACUGGGACUGAGACACGGCCCAGACUCCUACGGGAGGCAGCAGUGGGGAAUAUUGCACAAUGGGCGCAAGCCUGAUGCAGCGACGCCGCGUGAGGGAUGACGGCCUUCGGGUUGUAAACCUCUUUCAGUAGGGAAGAAGCGAAAGUGACGGUACCUGCAGAAGAAGCGCCGGCUAACUACGUGCCAGCAGCCGCGGUAAUACGUAGGGCGCAAGCGUUAUCCGGAUUUAUUGGGCGUAAAGAGCUCGUAGGCGGUUUGUCGCGUCUAUCGUGAAAGUCCGAGGCUCAACCUCGGAUCUGCGGUGGGUACGGGCAGACUAGAGUGAUGUAGGGGAGACUGGAAUUCCUGGUGUAGCGGUGAAAUGCGCAGAUAUCAGGAGGAACACCGAUGGCGAAGGCAGGUCUCUGGGCAUUUACUGACGCUGAGGAGCGAAAGCAUGGGGAGCGAACAGGAUUAGAUACCCUGGUAGUCCAUGCCGUAAACGUUGGGCACUAG
rnacentral:rRNA from 1 species